AGGCAGCAGCAAGGAAUAUUGGGCAAUGGGCGAAAGCCUGACCCAGCGACACCGCGUGGGGGAUGAAGGUUUUCGGAUCGUAAGCCCCUUUUCUCGGGGAAGAAUACUGACGGUACCCGAGGAAUAAGUCUCGGCCAACUACGUGCCAGCAGCCGCGGUAAUACGUAGGAGGCGAACGUUAUCCGGAUUUACUGGGCGUAAAGGGAGCGUAGGCGGUUGUUUAAGUCGGGUGUGAAAUCUCUCAACUUAAUUGAGAGGGGCCAUCCGAUACUGGGCAACUCGAGGGCGGCAGAAGGAAACGGAAUUCCGAGUGUAGCGGUGAAAUGCGUUGAUAUUCGGAAGAACACCAGUGGCGAAGGCGGUUUCCUAGGCUGUUCCUGACGCUGAGGCUCGAAAGCGUGGGGAGCGAAGCGGAUUAGAUACCCGCGUAGUCCACGCCCUAAACGGUGAACACUAGAUAUGGGGAGUAUCGACCCUUCUCGUGUCGAAGCUAACGCUUUACGUGUUCCGCCUGGGGAGUACGGCCGCAAGGCUAAAACUCAAAUGAAUUGACGG
rnacentral:rRNA from 1 species